GUCACUGGGGACCUGUGCAGAGCUGAGUGUCUGCCCCCCACCAUGUGACAACAGAGAAGUAUGAGUCAGUCCUCUGUUUAUGCUUAGUGACAGUGGAGUCCAGAGGGGAGGUGAUCUUAAAACCUCAUUCAGAGCCAACAUGGAAGUGAAAAUCAUUAAGGACAAUGGAGAUCCUCUUGAUAAAGAUUACGGCCGAGCAGCAGGAUAGAAGCAAAGCACCCAGCUCCACACUCGUGGUUCCUGAUACAUAGAGGAAACCAGCAACUUUCCAUCUCAUUGAGGGGAGAAACUGGCAAGUUUAUUAUAUUCUCCUGGGUCUAAUCAGGAAACCAAAAUAGGAAAACUUAUAUAUUCUCAUCAAGGAAGCUGUUGGGCGGUGUG
rnacentral:lncRNA from 1 species